rnacentral:tRNA from 1 species
GCGCCGGCGUGGGGUAGCGGUUGCCCAGGCUGCUCUGCCGGAACAGUUCCAGCGUGCGGGCCAGCGCAAUGGCGCAGUUCUGGGCGGCGGCGCGCGCU